AUCCAGUUACUAGGAAGGAAGAAGACAACGGGAAAAGGAUUCUGUUUUAACAUUCCUGCUAUUUUUCUGCUCAUAGAGAAAAUAGAGGUCACACUUCAAGGUUCAGCAUAUCCAGUUACUAGGAAGGAAAAAGACAAUGGGAAAAGGAUUCUGUUUUGACAUUCCUGCUAUUUUUCUGCUUAUAGAGAAAAUAGAGGUGCACUUUGACAAGGAUCAAUUUGAACCUCGACCAAAGGAUUGAAAGUUUAGGCUGACUGCUGUCCCAACCAUCUUCCCUCACUGCAAAGUAUCCAAACUAAACUGAUAAAGAAGUUGCCCCGAUGCAGAUUGCACAUGCCCAUCAUGACAUGCAUAACGGAAGAAGGUAGCAAAGCAACAUCAGCCUAUAGCAUUCCUACUAUGUAGAGCACUACAAUGCUCUUCCACUGGAAGUUGUAAAUUAAAGGCACUAUGGACAUUAUUGGUAACUACUCAAAUAGUUGCUAUCAUAAAAACUUACUUACUUGGUAACGAGCAAUGCAGAGCCGUUGAUAACGUAAAACAUUGUGAGAAUCAGCUCCCUGUAAUGUAACAUUUCUCGCUUUAAUAAUAAAAGACUUCAGGUCUGAUGAAGCUUUUUAUUUGGCAUCUGAAACCACAC